rnacentral:rRNA from 1 species
AGUGAACGCUGGCGGUAGGCCUAACACAUGCAAGUCGAACGGCAGCACAGUAAGAGCUUGCUCUUACGGGUGGCGAGUGGCGGACGGGUGAGGAAUACAUCGGAAUCUACUUUUUCGUGGGGGAUAACGUAGGGAAACUUACGCUAAUACCGCAUACGACCUACGGGUGAAAGCAGGGGAUCUUCGGACCUUGCGCGAUUGAAUGAGCCGAUGUCGGAUUAGCUAGUUGGCGGGGUAAAGGCCCACCAAGGCGACGAUCCGUAGCUGGUCUGAGAGGAUGGUCAGCCACCCUGGAACUGAGACACGGUCCAGACGCCUACGGGAGGCAGCAGUGGGGAAUAGUGGACAGUGGGCGCAAGCCUGAUCCAGCCAUACCGCGUGGGUGAAGAAGGCCUUCGGGUUGUAAAGCCCUUUUGUUGGGAAAGAAAAGCAGCAGGUUAAUACCCCGCUGUUCUGACGGUACCCAAAGAAUAAGCACCGGCUAACUUCGUG